rnacentral:rRNA from 1 species
UACGGAGGGGGCUAGCGUUGUUCGGAAUUACUGGGCGUAAAGCGCGCGUAGGCGGAUCUGCAAGUCGGGGGUGAAAUCCCGAGGCUCAACCUCGGAACUGCCUUCGAUACUGCGGGUCUCGAGUCCGGGAGAGGUGAGUGGAAUUCCUAGUGUAGAGGUGAAAUUCGUAGAUAUUAGGAAGAACACCAGUGGCGAAGGCGGCUCACUGGCCCGGUACUGACGCUGAGGCGCGAAAGCGUGGGUAGCAAACAGG